rnacentral:rRNA from 1 species
UACGAGGGGGGCGAGCGUUGUUCGGAAUUAUUGGGCGUAAAGAGCUCGUAGGCGGUUUGUCGCGUCUGCUGUGAAAACGCGAGGCUCAACCUCGCGCCUGCAGUGGGUACGGGCAGACUAGAGUGCGGUAGGGGAGAUUGGAAUUCCUGGUGUAGCGGUGGAAUGCGCAGAUAUCAGGAGGAACACCGAUGGCGAAGGCAGAUCUCUGGGCCGUAACUGACGCUGAGGAGCGAAAGCGUGGGGAGCGAACAGG